rnacentral:rRNA from 1 species
CCUACGGGUGGCAGCAGUGGGGGAUAUUGCACAAUGGGGGCAACCCUGAUGCAGCGACGCCGCGUGUGGGAAGACGGUCCUCUGGAUUGUAAACCACUGUCCCCAGGGACGAAGAUGACGGUACCUGGGGAGGAAGCUCCGGCUAACUACGUGCCAGCAGCAGCGGUAAUACGUAGGGAGCGAGCGUUGUCCGGAAUUACGGGGUGUAAGGGGAGCGUAGGCGGGACUGCAAGUUGGGGGUCAAAUCUACCGGCUCAACCGGUAGCCGCACUCAAAACUGCAGUUCUUGAGUGAAGUAGAGGCAGGUGGAAUUCCUAGUGUAGCGGUGAAAUGCGUAGAUAUUAGGAGGAACACCAGUGGCGAAGGCGGCCUGCUGGGCUUUUACUGACGCUGAGGCUCGAAAGUGUGGGGAGCAAACAGGAUUAGAUACCCCUGUAGUC